rnacentral:rRNA from 1 species
UACGAAGGGGGCUAGCGUUGCUCGGAAUCACUGGGCGUAAAGCGCACGUAGGCGGAUCGCUAAGUCAGGGGUGAAAUCCUGGAGCUCAACUCCAGAACUGCCUUUGAUACUGGCAAUCUCGAGUCCGGGAGAGGUGAGUGGAACUGCGAGUGUAGAGGUGAAAUUCGUAGAUAUUCGGAAGAACACCAGUGGCGAAGGCGGCUCACUGGACCGGCAUUGACGCUGAGGUGCGAAAGCGUGGGGAGCAAACAGG